UCAAAGUCUAACCUGCCCACUGAAUAUUGUUUAAAGGGCCGCAGUAUUUUGACUGUGCAAAGGUAGCAUAAUCAUUAGUCUUUUAAUUGAAGGCUGGUAUGAAUGGUUGGAUGAGAUACAAGCUGUGUCAUAAAAAUUAAAAUUUGAAUUUACCUUUUUAGUCAAAAGGCUAAAAUAUUCUUAAAAGACGAGAAGACCCCAUAGAGCUUUAUAUAACUAAUACUUAAACUAUUUAGAUUUAUUAAGUUAAAUUAUUAUUUUGUAUUUUGUUGGGGUGACAAUAAAAUUAAUAAAACUUUUAUUUUUAUUAAACAUUAAUUUAUGAGUAAAUGAUCCAGUUUUAUUGAUUAUAAAAUUAAGUUACCUUGGGGAUAACAGCGUAAUUUUUUUUGAGAGUUCUUAUCGACAAAAAAGAUUGCGACCUCGAUGUUGGAUUAAGAGUAAUUUUGGGUGUAGAAGUUCAMGUUUAAGUCUGUUCAACUUUAAAUUCUUCAUGAUCUGAGUCAAAAA
rnacentral:rRNA from 1 species